CUUCAAAACUUGCCAUCUUCAGCGUGUAGCCUGCUAGCUUUAAGUCUGUUGUUAUUCCCUAAGCGAACAGAGUUUGAAAAAGGCAACACGCAUUAAUGAUGUCUGGCAACUAU